AAAGGAAAGACUGUCUCUAUAUUAAAUAUUGAAUUUAACUUUUAAGUGAAAAGGCUUAAAUAACUUAGGGGGACGACAAGACCCUAUAAAGCUUUAUAUGUUAUUUACAUAAAAUUGAAUUAGAGAAUUAAAAAUUGUUUGUAGGUAUCUUAUUUUGUUGGGGCGACAAAGGUAAAAUUUGAAAUAACUAUUAUUAACUUGAUUCAAUGAUAAUUGAAGUAAAAUUAAAAGAUCCUUAUUAAAGAUUUAAAAAUAAGUUACUUUAGGGAUAACAGCGUAAUUUCUUUUGAGAGUUCAUAUCGAAAAAGAAGAUUGCGACCUC
rnacentral:rRNA from 1 species